UACGGGGGGGGCAAGCGUUGUUCGGAAUUACUGGGCGUAAAGGGCUCGUAGGCGGCCAACUAAGUCGGAUGUGAAAUCCCCCGGGCUUAACCUGGGAACUGCGCUUGUUACUGGCAGGCUUGAGUGUGGCAGAGGGGGGUGGAAUUCCACGUGUAGCAGUGAAAUGCGUAGAGAUGUGGAGGAACACCGAUGGCGAAGGCAGCCCCCUGGGCUAACACUGACGCUCAUGCACGAAAGCGUGGGGAGCAAACAGG
rnacentral:rRNA from 1 species